CUCCCCUCUCCAGCUUGAUGGAGUAUUGCUUGCUCUCACCUAAGGGCUGGCUCCCCUGCCUCACAUCUUGUUCAGUUUGAUGACGUGAAAACCAAGGCUUUCAAGAUCAUUGGAAUCUUUCACAAUGAAGCUGAGACUAAGGGCCUAUCACUUCGCCAUCACAGACAGAAACUCUGCACAGGGUGACAACUCAUCAGAGUGCUGGAGGAGGCAGCUGGGGGGUGGGGUGGGGGAGGUCAAAGUUCAACGGAGGAGAAGCUAUGGCUGAAAAGGCUGUGCAUACCGGGAGAGAUUCCAAAGCAAAUUGUCACCACCAAGCCUUUAUGCUCCAAGCGGACUAUUAAGAGCAGCAAGCAACUCAUUGAGCCAUGAACCAGGGCGAUCCAUCAAUGUUUGCUCCAUCCAUCGGAGGGACGUCAAGCUGGAGGACCCGUCUGCCAGCACUGUGGUCAUUGGUAGACGUUAAAGAUGCCAUCUCUGUUUGUAAUCCCGCAAGGUUCAAAGUCCACUCACUGUCAGCGAUGGUCGAAGGUUUGGAAAGAACGCGCCCAUCUACGAAUCUCCGGGCCUUGCACUGGUCCACAUCCUCAAGUUUGCAGUAUGGAUCUAAAGCCAGUAGUGGAGCUGUUACACACACACACACACACACACACACACACACACACACACACACACACACACACACACGAAUACAUGACACAACACUGGACUGUUCGAUGAGGAAUUUCCUCCUCCCAAUGGAUGCCAACCAAUGAAGACUGGCCACGCUGUCAUCCGUUUAAAUGCUGAAUGUCAGGCAAGAACACGGAAAAAUCUCAUGGAUUGGUGUCCCAUUGGGGUUGGGGUCUGUGGAGGAGGAUUUCUCCUUGAUUGCCCCGCUGAUUGCAAAGAGAAAAAUGGCGUCUGAAGAUUGCAUCAUGGGUACCCAGAGUGCCCAGGUAGGUUACGUCACUUCCCCCAAGGUCACUGGCUGUGAUUGUCGAAAGUCCCGUCCUUUGUUGGCUGGUCAAUCUGUCAGCAUGUGUGUGCGGGAUUUGUGCAACAGCUGUUCCAUGAGCUUUAGACAUUGUUAAAAAAAAUGCCCCAUGAGAUGCCUCAUCCCGAGUAUUUAACAAGCUCAAAUGAGCUAAGAUCCUGUCCUCUUAACGAUGACGUCAUAAAAACGAAUAUGACAUCAUUGUGAUGUAUCAGGUUUGCGAUAAAUUAUCUGUGCUAAUGCCCGGCUUGAUUCCCGCAAACAAAAUUCAAACAGCUUGCCUAGUUUCGGAGAUAAUGGUAUAGGCUAUUUCCAUUAGUGGCGAUAUUGUGACAUCAACCUU
rnacentral:lncRNA from 1 species